rnacentral:rRNA from 1 species
UACGUAGGGUGCAAGCGUUAAUCGGAAUUACUGGGCGUAAAGCGAACGUAGGCGGCUUGGCAAGUCAGGGGUGAAAUCCCAGUGCUCAACACUGGAACUGCCUUUGAAACUGCCAGGCUUGAAUCCUGGAGAGGCGAGUGGAAUUCCGAGUGUAGAGGUGAAAUUCGUAGAUAUUCGGAAGAACACCAGUGGCGAAGGCGACUCGCUGGACAGGUAUUGACGCUGAGGUUCGAAAGCGUGGGGAGCAAACAGG